rnacentral:lncRNA from 1 species
GGAACAAGCCGUUUAUCAUUUCCAUAAAUUAUACUGGUUUUGUUUCAUUUUAUGUACCACACUUUUUUAUUUUUUUUAAAAAGAGUGACACAUUUGUAAUUUAUUUGUAAACAAUAUAAUUUAAGUUUUUCACUUUAUUUCAAUAUGCAUAUUUUUGUAAUCAUAAAAAUAUUAAAGAGACAUUGAUAGUCUUCCACUGA